UGAUAGCUCAGCUAAUAGAGCAUGAAACUCUUAAUCUCAGGGUUGUGGGUUCAAGUCCCACAUUGGAUGAA